AUCAUGGAUGUGGGCUGGCCCGAGCUGCACGCACCACCUCUUGACAAGAUGUGCACCAUAUGUAAAGCCCAGGAGUCCUGGCUGAACAGCGACCCCCAGCACGUGGUCGUCAUCCACUGCAGGGGCGGUAAAGGACGAAUUGGAGUGGUCAUAUCGUCCUACAUGCACUUCACCAAUGUCUCAGCCAGUGCCGACCAGGCACUGGACAGGUUUGCAAUGAAGAAGUUUUAUGAUGACAAAGUCUCAGCUUUAAUGGAGCCCUCCCAGAAGCGAGAGGAAGACUCAGAGCUACGUCUCGCUUCAGCCAUGGUAAUCAUUGUCUCCUGAUCGUGAGCUUUGGUUUCCACGAUCAAGUUGGACUCAUUUCUGUCUGUGAGAACAGGGAUCCGGGAACUCGAUGGAAAUACUAGAGGGCUGAUGUUUCAGGCUGUGUGGUUUUAGCUCACCAGUGUUCUAACGUAGAUGUUAGAGACAUAUCUAUAAGGACACGAGUGACUCUCUGUUCCAAUUAAACUUUAUUGACAC
rnacentral:lncRNA from 1 species